rnacentral:sRNA from 12 species
CCCGCCAAGCCUCUUAACAAUGCUCAAAUUGUGCGGGC